rnacentral:rRNA from 2 species
UGAGGAAUAUUGGUCAAUGGACGGGAGUCUGAACCAGCCAAGUAGCGUGAAGGAUGACUGCCCUAUGGGUUGUAAACUUCUUUUAUAUGGGAAUAAAGUGCAGUAUGUAUACUGUUUUGUAUGUACCAUAUGAAUAAGGAUCGGCUAACUCCGUGCCAGCAGCCGCGGUAAUACGGAGGAUCCGAGCGUUAUCCGGAUUUAUUGGGUUUAAAGGGAGCGUAGGCGGAAGCUUAAGUCAGUUGUGAAAGUUUGCGGCUCAACCGUAAAAUUGCAGUUGAUACUGGGUUUCUUGAGUGCAGUAGAGGUAGGCGGAAUUCGUGGUGUAGCGGUGAAAUGCUUAGAUAUCACGAAGAACUCCGAUUGCGAAGGCAGCUUACUGGACUGUAACUGACGCUGAUGCUCGAAAGUGUGGGUAUCAAACAGG